rnacentral:rRNA from 1 species
AACGAACGCUGGCGGCAUGCCUAACACAUGCAAGUCGAACGAGACCUUCGGGUCUAGUGGCGCACGGGUGCGUAACGCGUGGGAACCUGCCCUUAGGUUCGGAAUAACUUCCCGAAAGGGGUGCUAAUACCGGAUAAUGUCUUCGGACCAAAGAUUUAUCGCCUUUGGAUGGGCCUGCGUUGGAUUAGCUAGUUGGUAGGGUAAAAGCCUACCAAGGCGACGAUCCAUAGCUGGGCUGAGAGGAUGAUCAGCCACACUGGGACUGAGACACGGCCCAGACUCCUACGGGAGGCAGCAGUGGGGAAUAUUGGACAAUGGGCGAAAGCCUGAUCCAGCAAGGCCGCGUGAGUGAUGAAGGCCUUAGGGUUGUAAAGCUCUUUUACCCGGGAUGAUAAUGACAGUACCGGGAGAAUAAGCUCCGGCUAACUCCGUG